GUCAAUUUAAGUCACUAAGGAUAAUGACGAACACAAUAAAUAAUUUGUACCAACAGAUGGUAGUCACAGCUCAUUCAUGGUAAUUAAUUCAGUUGUGAGUUUAUUAACCAAGUUAUCAAAAUUUAAAUACUGAAGUCUCUCAAAUAUGUUCGAUUCAAAAGGUUCGAAGGAAAGAUCGAAAAUCCGAAUAGUGAAAAGAAAUAUAUUGCGAUUUUAAGAAUGAUGCAACUGCACGAGGCAUCCUCAAAGACUUAAAGUCUGUCCAUUUCAUUGGCACUAGUUUUAUGUUGAUGGAUAUCAUUCCAGUGAUGACAAAGCUGAACCUUACCUUUUAGAAGCAGAUUUUAGAUCCCAUAAUUGCUAUGCCAGCCCUGCAAGCAGCAAGGUUAAAACUUUGGAGGCUAUCUCAAGAAAAUGGUCCAAAUCUAACUGAAUUUUUCAAGACUCUGAGUCCUGAAACAAAUGAGUAAAAAGGAGUGAAAAUUCACAAUGCUAUUCGUCUGUUUGAAGCUGUGCAACCUAUUAAAU